rnacentral:rRNA from 1 species
UUGAACGCUGGCGGCGGGCCUAACACAUGCAAGUCGAGCGGAUGAAGGGAGCUUGCUCCUGGAUUCAGCGGCGGACGGGUGAGUAAUGCCUAGGAAUCUGCCUGGUAGUGGGGGAUAACGUCCGGAAACGGGCGCUAAUACCGCAUACGUCCUGAGGGAGAAAGUGGGGGAUCUUCGGACCUCACGCUAUCAGAUGAGCCUAGGUCGGAUUAGCUAGUUGGUGGGGUAAAGGCCUACCAAGGCGACGAUCCGUAACUG